rnacentral:lncRNA from 1 species
GUGUUCCUCCGUGAACACCAGCUUCAGUCCAAAUCCCAGCGGAGACGAAGGCAGGCUGCUUCGGUUCAGGCAGGGUGGUGCUUUCGUUAUCAAGCGCUGAAAUUAUCUCGGUCAUGGCCGAUUGAUGGGACUCUCCUGUACGCACAUCAGGCCGACAUGAAUGCAUCUCAAUACCUUAUGCUCUGGACAUGCGUUAUAUAUGGAUGGAUCAGCGAGCUCGGACCACCUUCCUUCUUUCCAUAG